CACAGGAAAAAUAGCAGAGUAGUUUUUCCAGAGUAAUUAUUUUUUUCCUCAAAAAGAGUUGUUUUUUAUCUAUUUUGAGUGAACAGAGUAAAAUGUGUCCAUAGAGUGGGAGCAAAAUUAUAGAGUAACUGUGACUCCUCCCCAAAAUCUUCUGCUCCCUAAGUUUCGUUUGUCAGCCAUUACUGUUCUACACGGCCAUCGCGAUCGCGAUCUGCAUUUGGAUUUGGAAGAGAUCGUUGUGCUACUGCUGGAUUUAAAAAAUGCAAACCAACAACGUUGUGAGACUGAGAGUGAAGUUCAAAGACACCAAGAAAUAUAUUUUUUCUCCAACACCUUUUACAUUUCAAGAAUAUGCAAAGGGAAUCAUCUCCCUAUUCCCAUACUUGGCAGAAUGGGUCACCCAGGAUCAAGCUUGGUUAUGAGCAUUAUUACAAUCCAGAAGAUGGAAGUGGAUAUCUGGCAUGGAGAAUAAAAACCCUGCAGAAAGAAGAAUCAGAGGGACGGAUGAAAAGGCAACCACAAACAGGUGGGCCAACUACUGACAGGGAUCCCUUCAAAGCCGCGAGGCCUCAAACAGACUAGUGAGCUCCAAGACGUUAUCCAAAAUGCUGAAGGUUGGGACAGCGACAUGUCAUCCAUUCUGAUGCUGGUUCACCUUUUGCCACCCUCAAGUUAAGGCCGGGAAAGAUCUCAGCGAGAAAAGCGUGAUUCUUGUGAAAUUCAUCAAGGUGAAGCAACUGAUGAAGCAGAUAAAAUGACACUAGUUCAUAUGAAGAGUUCAGAUGCAAAAGCCUCUAAGUGCCAUUUGAAAUUUUCUUCUAGAAUGAUC